AUGAUAUCCCAGCCUAGUCUUUCAGAGAUGCUCAUAGAGGUAGAGUCUGCGUGUAUGUUUUAUAGGGAUGAGUGUAUGCGCGUAUACCGUGUUCUCAAAAAGUUUUUGAUUGAUCAAAUCAUUUUCAGUUUUCUCCAGCAAAAAAAAAUGUUAGUCUUUUCCGUGGGACCCAAUUGUCAGCGUCUAGUCCAUCUCCAACCCCCUUCAUCCCCAGCCGAGCCGCCAAGCACAAGCACGCAGGUGUCGCCGUCGUGCGGAUCCACGGUGGUCGCCGACGCAAAGCUGGCGGAGGGAGGGAGGGGAGGCGCCUAG
rnacentral:rRNA from 1 species